rnacentral:lncRNA from 1 species
CAGAAUCAAACUUAACAUCAAAAAUGUUGACAAAACAUAAAACAACCUAUUCUUCUUGAUUUUUAAUCCUCAGUAAAUAACAUUUGGAAAUCUUUUAAAACCUCUGUGUUCCUCACCAAUAUUUAGUCUUUUAUCAAGAUAUGAUAGUUUCACUCUGAAAUAUUUAUAGACUAAACUUUAUAUCUAGAACCAUUACACUUUUAUUCAAACUGCUACGUUUUUUUACCUGGACUACCAUAAUGGUCUUCCUAACUGGUCUUGCAUGCAUAGUCCUUUUCCCUUUCUUCCAAUAUAUUAAACUAGUGUGUUCUUUUGAAAAUAUGGAGCUUCCUGCUUUUAGGACAAAGGCCGGAAUUUGUAUUAUAGCCUUUAAGACCUACAUAGUUGGCUCCUGCCAACCUCUUUAGCUUUCUCUUGUAACAAGAUCUCUAAAUUCUAACCUCCUUGGCCUUUUCUUUGUUCUCAAAUACACUUUCUUUUUUUUCUUCCUUCUUAUCCUUUGACUAAUUGACUCUUUACUCUUCAUGCAGACUUUGUUCAGUCAUCUACUUUAGAGAAGUCUGACUUCAUUUACUGGCUGAAGUUCCUGUUAUAUAUUUCCGUAUCAUUCCUUCAUUGUACCUUCCACAGUUAUUAUUAGUGUGAUUCUUUAAUGUUUGU